rfam:Gossypium arboreum cultivar AKA8401 contig_52453_5, whole genome shotgun sequence.
AACACAUGGUGAGGGCACCUUCUCAAUAAGUCGUUAUACCUCUGUCAUGCAUCAUAUAGAGUCUCUGAAUUCAUUUGCAUGAAGGAAGAGAUAUCAUUCCUCAGCUU